UACGGGGGGGGCAAGCGUUGUUCGGAAUUACUGGGCGUAAAGGGCUCGUAGGUGGCCAACUAAGUCAGACGUGAAAUCCCUCGGCUCAACCGGGGAACUGCGUCUGAUACUGGGUGGCUUGAAUCCGGGAGAGGGAUGCGGAAUUCCAGGUGUAGCGGUGAAAUGCGUAGAUAUCUGGAGGAACACCGGUGGCGAAGGCGGCGUCCUGGACCAACACUGACACUGAGGAGCGAAAGCCAGGGGAGCAAACGGG
rnacentral:rRNA from 1 species